GCCAUGCAGCCGGCGAGAAUCAACAUCCAAUGCGGCUUCAGUCGCUUUUCAACUUUGAGCUCUGGUCGUAAAGCAACAAACAAAAACGCAGUAGUUCCCACAGCGUGCCACUGUUAUUCAUUCUCAACUCAAGAUGAUUGAAAUGGAGGCUGAGGUUUGAAGGGCGCUGUCAAAACAAAACGAGGAUACGGAGAUGCUGCAGCGCUUUCCCCUCCGUAACGCGGCUGAAGUUGUUGGAUAAGGAAAAACAGACACGGUGGACGGAUAACAUGCAGCAUUCAGCUUACACUUAUCCCUUCUCCUAUCUUGCUGCACACCCCCACAAUGAGGACAUUACACAUCGCACAGAUUUACGGAGUCAUACAAAAGCAAUUAGUUUGUCUCUGUGCCGUCAGCAGCAGUAGCCUACGGGUGUGUUUCGCUUUUAGCCUACCUGAGUUAAGCGGACGCUCUACGAAAGCUAUUUCUAUGUGCGUAAUGUGUGUAAACUUGACACAAGCGUGCUGUAACGUUGUCGCCAGAUUCACUAAAAGCGCCUGUCACAACUAAAUGAUGUGAGCAGCUCUCCCGAGAAGGAGCCAAACUUACCUGACUUCAGCUCUUGACAAAAAAAAAGAAACCCGACGACUUUGCUGCUGAGCUGAAACUGCUAAUUUCUGGGACCAGCCUUUUUUUGGCUGUGAACU